GUAGGGAAUAUUGGACAAUGGGCGAAAGCCUGAUCCAGCCAUGCCGCGUGAUAGAUGAAGGCCCUCUGGGUUGUAAAUAUCUUUUAUCUGGGAAGAAACUCCUCUAUUCUUAGAGGCCUGACGGUACCAGAGGAAUAAGCACCGGCUAACUCCGUGCCAGCAGCCGCGGUAAUACGGAGGGUGCAAGCGUUAUCCGGAUUCACUGGGUUUAAAGGGUGCGUAGGCGGGUUGAUAAGUCAGUGGUGAAAGCUCCGGGCUUAACUUGGAAACUGCCAUUGAUACUGUCAAUCUUGAAUGUCGUAGAGGUAAGCGGAAUGUUGCAUGUAGCGGUGAAAUGCUUAGAUAUGUUACAGAACACCAAUUGCGAAGGCAGCUUACUAUGCGAUAAUUGACGCUGAGGCACGAAAGCGUGGGGAGCAAACAGGAUUAGAUACCCUUGUAGUCC
rnacentral:rRNA from 1 species